rnacentral:rRNA from 1 species
GACGAACGCUGGCGGCGUGCUUAACACAUGCAAGUCGAACGGAAAGGCCCUGCUUUUGUGGGGUGCUCGAGUGGCGAACGGGUGAGUAACACGUGAGUAACCUGCCCUUGACUUUGGGAUAACUUCAGGAAACUGGGGCUAAUACCGGGUAGGAGCUACUGCUGCAUGGUGGGGGUUGGAAAGUUUCGGCGGUUGGGGCUGGACUCGCGGCUUAUCAGCUUGUUGGUGGGGUAGUGGCUUACCAAGGCUAUGACGGGUAGCCGGCCUGAGAGGGUGACCGGCGACAUUGGGACUGAGAUAGGGCCCAGACUCCUACGGGAGGCAGCAGUGGGGAAUAUUGCACAAUGGGCGGAAGCCUGAUGCAGCAACGCCGCGUGCGGGAUGACGGCCUUCGGGUUGUAAACCGCUUUCGCCUGUGACGAAGCGUGAGUGACGGUAAUGGGUAAAGAAGCACCGGCUAACUACGUG